rnacentral:piRNA from 1 species
UCAAAGUAAAAUGCCUAAACGAGGGCUGGU